rnacentral:rRNA from 1 species
CUAUACAGUGAAACUGCGAAUGGCUCAUUAAAUCAGUUAUCGUUUAUUUGAUAGUACCUUUUACAUGGAUAACCGUGGUAAUUCUAGAGCUAAUACAUGCUAAAAACCUCAACUUCGGAAGGGGUGUAUUUAUUAGAUUAAAAACCAAUGCCCUUCGGGGCUCCUUGGUGAUUCAUAAUAACUAAACGAAUCGCAUGGCCUUGCGCCGGCGAUGGUUCAUUCAAAUUUCUGCCCUAUCAACUUUCGAUGGUAAUAUAGUGGAUUACCAUGGUGUCUACGGGUAACGGAGGAUUAGGGUUCGAUCCCGGAGAGAGGGCCUGAGAAACGGCCCUCACAUCCAAGGAAGGCAGCAGGCGCGCAAAUUACCCAAUCCCAAAACGGGGAGGUAGUGACAAUACAUACUGAUACAGGGCUCUUUUGGGUCUUGUAAUUGGAAUGAGUACAAUUUAAAUCCCUUAACGAGGAACAAUUGGAGGGCAAGUCUGGUGCCAGCAGCCGCGGUAAUUCCAGCUCCAAUAGCGUAUAUUAAAAUUGUUGCAGUUAAAAAGCUCGUAGUUGAACCUUGGGUUUGGCUGUCCGGUCCGCCUCACCGCGUGCACUGGUUCGGCCGAACCUUUCCUUCUGGGGAACCGCAUGUCCUUCACUGGAUGUGUUGGGGAACCAGGACUUUUACUUUGAAAAAAUUAGAGUGUUCAAAGCAGGCCUAUGCUCGAAUACAUUAGCAUGGAAUAAUAGAAUAGGACGUGUGGUUCUAUUUUGUUGGUUUCUAGGACCGCCGUAAUGAUUAAUAGGGAUAGUCGGGGGCAUCAGUAUUCAAUUGUCAGAGGUGAAAUUCUUGGAUUUAUUGAAGACUAACUACUGCGAAAGCAUUUGCCAAGGAUGUUUUCAUUAAUCAGUGAACGAAAGUUAGGGGAUCGAAGACGAUCAGAUACCGUCGUAGUCUUAACCAUAAACUAUGUCGACUAGGGAUCGGACGGUGUUAUUAUUUUGACCCGUUCGGCACCUUACGAGAAAUCAAA